UAGGUUCUUAAUAAUGUGCUCAUCUGUAUAUGAACACUUAAUAUAUGCUUUCUUUGGCAUUGUCAUUGGCUGUGGAGAAAUCAAGUAUUUCAAAUUUCACUCCAUAGUUUUCACUGUGACUUUAUUCAUAACAGUGAAUUUUGUAAGGCUGCUUACUAUCAUUUUAGUGAGCCCAAUUUUGAUGCAUUCAAGUUAUGAGUAUGACUGGCGUUGGGGAUUCGUCAUCGCAUGGUCUGGGAUCAGAGGUGUUUUCAGCUUACUCUUGGCUCCCGAUAUUUACAAUAUUUCUCGAUUUAAAUUACCAGCACCACAUAUGUUUAUCUUCUAUAUACAAGUACUAUCGUUAUUGACAACAGGAAUAAAUUCACAUAUGAUGCUUCGUUCAGCCAAAACACUAGGUUUGUGUGCUCUCUCCCUCCCAAGACAAAUGGCUGUUCGGAAUGCCAUUGAACACAUACAGGAGAUUAUACGGAACACAAUAACUUUAUUUAAGACAGAAAAAAUUUUGACAAAUGUUAACUGGAAUGUAGUAGAAGAAAAAGCAAAAAUCGAAUACAAUCCUAUUUUAAAACAGACUCACGUUCAAGUUUCCCACAGUCCAAAAGAGGAGUCCCCAACCGAUGAAGUUUUAAUAGAAGAGGCCAGAUUGCAUGUAGCUAUAAUACAAAUGAGUAGCUUUGAAAAGCAGUGUAACGAUGGUACCCUUGGAGUAGAGGCAGCUCGAAUAUUAAUUGGUGCCACCAAAAGUUACUGCCCCAUCCACGGAAAAUUCAUGAGUAUUUCUGACGUUUCAACUUAUGUGAGAGCCAGGAGUUGGCUUAUAAAGUUUAAAAACCUGUUAACUUACUUGGAAUAUCACAAAGAAAGGAUACUUUUUACUGUACCUGGGAAUAAUAAAUUUCUGAUUUUUGUCUAUCAAAUUAUAAUUUCAGAAGAAUUUGAAUAUGCAACACAUGUUGUAACAAUAAUGUAUAUUUUCCCCAUGAUAAUACAUUUGUGGCCAAUUGCAAGAGAGUUAAAUGUAUCAGCACUGACAUCCAUAAACUACUAUUUUAUGUUUUUAUAUAUAUUAGAAUCAGCACUGAAGAUACUAAUUUUAAAAAGGAAAUAUUUUCUUCAGAAUUGGAAUACUUUGGACUUUUUUAUCAUAGUCAUCGGAAUCACUGAUAUACUGUGCAUGUACUUUGUCAAGCUGAGACCAGACAGCUUGAUUCUCAUCCAGUUUACGGUGGUGAUAGGAUAUUUAAGAGUGAUUAGGUUUCUUCCCAUCUUCAAGAUUAUAAUACCAAUACUAAUAAAUAUGGCAGAUGUUCAGAUCAAAAAGAGCCUCAGCUUGAUGUACAGUAUUACAAAAGGCUAUGUCAAAAGUCAGGAAGAUGCCAAGCUUUUGAUAAGGCAAAUUUCUGGACGUGAAUCAAUCUAUCGGAAAUUAUAUGACAUUUUAGAAAAAAACAAACGAGAGGCUAUUAGAGAACUAGGACUCAUAGAGCAUGAAGGCCGUGAUGUUGUCAUAGCUCUGAAGACGAAGCAGACAAUCCGCAACGUGAUUGCCAAAGCCCUGAAAAACCUCACCUUUCUUUGGUCAAGAGGCAUUAUUGACAAGCACGAGGGUAUUGAGAUGAACAAGGUACUUCUUACAAAAAUAAAAGCCUUGAAUAACUUUCCAAUGGCGAUCCCACCUCCCACCCCUGACAAAUACCUUCCCAACAUUGUUUGGAUGGAAAAUAAGGAUGUUCUCAUUGAGUUCUUCAAGGAAAGAACCAAACUCACCUACUUUGACUAUGGGGACAUCAUCUGUAGAGAAGGUGAAAUGUCUCAAGGAAUCUUCUUAAUUAUCUCAGGAAUGUUACAUAGCUCAUCUCCCACCUUUGGGAUAGACUCAACCCAGAGGACUGACAGACAGUUCAAGACUAUGUAUACAGAGUACUGUACCAGUGGGGAUGUACUUGGUGAACUAAGCUGUUUGCUGAAGCGUGAAAUUGAAUAUACGGCCAUCUGUGAAACUACGUUGCAGGCCUUCUUCAUCUCCUUGGAGGAUUUAUAUGAAGGUUUUGAUGUCUUCUGGCCAUCUCUAGAAUAUAAAAUGUGGCUCAAGCUUGCUCUUAGUAUUGCAAAUCAGUAUUUUGAACCAAAUAUUGCUGGUGAGGAUUUAAAGUUUCACAAGUGUGUGUUGUACAAUCACGCAUAUGUGGAGACUCUGUCAAGCUAUAAUGAGAUGACUCUUAAUCACGUGAUCAUGAAACUCAUUAUUCUGGUGUACGGCAUUGUGAUCAAUAGCAAGACGGAAGAAACAUUUGUGGCACCCAGCAUCAUCCCUAAGUCUUGUGAGCAGAUCCAGGGGAUUUCGGAUGUAAGCAAGCUCCUCAUAAUCCCGACAUCUGAUCCUGCCAAAAACGAUGCGACCUCCCAUGCCAUGGUCAGCACUGGUCUUCGAACGACCAAGAAAGACUAUAACUGGAAGAGAAAAGAUGAGUUUGAAAGUGGACACCUCUUUAGAAAGGCAUUUUAAUGAGACAGCUCUGGUGUGUGGAGUCAGCUUAAGGUGCGGAGGCUGGGGAAACGCUCCACAGUCUUGGUUACUGGGAACAGCGUUUGGGAGGAGUCUGCAAUCUCACACUGCGAAGUCCUGUCUGAUGGAACUUCCUGCUUUAUUUUUCGAAGUCAAAUAAAGGUGAAUGCUAUGGUUAAUGAA
rnacentral:lncRNA from 1 species